rnacentral:lncRNA from 1 species
AGCUCGGUUCCCAGGCUUGGGGUCCGAGGCAGAGAACGCGAAGGAAGAGACAGAAGAAGUCACUAUGGCAUAAGCAGAUCCUGAGCUCACGGACAUGAGGACUGGCCUGCUAGAGAAAGAGCGGCCCAGGCAGAGCAUGGCAGGAAUUGAGUACUGAUUGCAGUAGCUUUGGAGGAUGGAUGCUCUGUCUGACUUUCUUAUGAUGCUCCUGGAAGAUGAGACCCUCUAGGAAGAAGAGAGGCUCUCAUGUGUUCCAGAGUGACCUGAACCUCAAGGAUAACCUUAAACAUCUGACCCGCAGCCUCUGCUUCCCACUGCUGGAUUGUGAUGGAUCUCAUUCGUGCUUGUCUCACUCCUGGAACAAAACCUCUGACCGGAGCAACUUAAGGAAGGGAAUGUGAAAAGCUAUGCUGACAGGGGAGGUCUCAGUCUGUGGAGCUUACAUUCAGGGCGGGCCUUCCCACCUUAGUCUAACCACUCUACUCUCGGAAGAGUAUCUCCUACUGCAUCAGAAAGCCAACCAAAUGAUCCAUCCGGCAAUAUUAUGACAACAGAUUUAUCCAAAGGAUAUCAGUGUACCAGUCCACAUUCGCUGCCGCAGUAUCUAAACCAGCAAGACAUGUAACCAAUGGAUGAAAUGCAGAAAAAGAUGGCAUACACAUGAUUCCAUGUAUAUAUAGCACAUAUACAUAGCUACAAAGUAGCACUGUUCAGCCUUUAAAACAUAAAGAAAUCUCAUCUCUUCCGGCUUUAUUUAUGUUGCGUCAAUUAAACACACCAGCCCAACAACUCAGGACAUGAAGGGUUUAUUUGGCAACUUCACAACUGCAGUCCAUUAUUUCUGGGGAGUCCAGUCAAGAACUCAAGUUGCUGAUCACACCAUAUCCACAGUCAAGAGCGGAGAGGCAUGAGUGCACCAUGCUGCAUCUGGCUCUCUCCUGUCUCAUUCAGCUCAGGAGCCUCUGCCUAGGGAGUGACGCCACCCGCAAAGGGCUGGGUCUUCCCGCGUCAAUUAAAAAUGAAGACAAUUCCCCACACGCAUGCCCACAGACAAACCUAAUCUGGGCAGUUCCACAAAUGAGACUGUCUUCUUGGCUGCUCCUAGGUUGUGUCAAGUUGACAGUUAAAACUAAGGAGGACUCCGUCUUUCUUGAUUGACUAACCAGGGUGGACCAGAAAAACGUGAUACUAAGCGAUUAAGUACUACUUGGCUCUUCACACUUUGGAUGUCCUAGAAGGGGGUCAGACACCCAACCACACAGUCUGCAUUGACUCCCUCGAGUGUGAGUCAACUAAGAGUCACCUCUGUUUCACAGUUCAAGGAUCUCUGAGAACUCUGAAGACCCCACGAUUAUCCAUAGUGAGGGAUGUUGAGUCCCAGGGCUCAGAAUGUCGGCAGCUCUAGACAAACAUUCAGUUCUCUGUUUACAGUGCGUGUGGAUGCCCCUUCACUGGCCUUGAAGUGCAGAGGCAGGUCCAGCUUACACAGGUUCUACAUGGUCCUGAUGAAGAAGUUAUCACAGCAUGGUAGGCACCCACAGAUUAUCUCUCUCCAGCGCUAACAACACCCCCAAUCCCCCUUCUUCCCUCUUCUUUAUCUCCUGUGUCUCCACUGUUGAAGAGCCAGGGAGACUCCAGUGUCAUGGACUGGGUGUUAAUAUGUAGCUUCUUGGUGAUCCUGCAUAUUGAAAUCCCUCCUUAAAGAGAUGAUAAAUUCUAAAGUGAGAAAGGAUGCCAAGCUGGCCUACAUAAAGCAGGAGCUUAAGGGAAGGGCAGGAGAUGUCACCAGAGAUAACCUGCAACUUGUUUAACCACAGCUGUAUGCUCAGGGUCUUCUGGCAUCUCCAUGAGCGACUAACUCUGCCUUCUUUGGUACCUCUUAAGGGCUAUUUCCAGUACAAAAUGACCAUUCUAACACCUAGCUAGCCCUCAGCCCACCCACUACCCAAGCAUGUACAAACAAGAUGUACUAUUUCUGUAUCCACAGGCUUGCCUCCCUUCUCUCCCUGCUUUUUAAAUCCUGCUCUGGUCUCUGGCCUUUGGCUUCAUCUUUAAUCCAACUCCUCAAACAUGAGAAGCCUUUAUAUGUUCAAUAAAGUAGCAAUAAGUAGCAUGGAGCCCACGCACAGAAAAGCUGCAUUAUUCUUUGAUGGUCCCUCCUCCUAGGGAGGCAGGGAAACUUCUGUGGAGUGAUAUCUUGUAGACAACUGUGACAGAGGCUGCUAGCUGUUCCCGAUAUCCUCAGUGUCCCCUCACAUACUCGGUCAAUUCUGUUUCUUAGGCACAGGAGCUUGUGUAGAAAGACUUUCCCUCUACCCUCUGAGCGCUUGAUACCCAAGUGCAUGAGGUGACUGCUAAAAGACAGAUUGGCAGCUGAGACAGAACUCAUGGCUCAUGGUUGUCACAGGGAUGGAAGUCAAUACCUAUAAAACCAGAGGGAUUUAGAAACUCUAAAACCUUGUCACUUAGGCAGGGGUGGUGGCACACAUCUUUAAUCAUCCCAGCAUUUGGGAGGCGGAGGUAGGCCGACCAUUGAGUCUGAGGCCACUCUGGUCUACAGAGUGAAUUCCAGGACAACCAAGGCUACACAGAGAAACCCUGUCCCAAGGAACCAAAAGAAACUUUCAUAUUUGUGUGUGUAUGUAUGUGUAGUAUGUAUAUAUGCAUGUAUAUGUAUAUGAUAUGUAAGCAUGUGUGAUGUGAGGAGGAGUGGUUUACAAAUGUGUGUGUGAAGCUAUGUGUAUGUGGCUUGUAUAUGUGUGGAUGGAUAUGGAUAUGUGAUUAUGUAUGAUUUCAUAUGUGUGUGUGUACAUGCACAUAUGUAUGUAUUUGGGAAAUGGGUGGGUGGUAUGGUAUUUAUAUGUGUGUGCUAAAGGGGGAAUGUAUGUAUGCAUGCAUAUAUAUGUGCCUAUUUUUUUGUGUAGUGUGCAUAUGUAUGUAUUUUGUAUAUGUGUGUGGUAUGUAUGUGUGCAGUGUGUGUGAGGCAGUGUAUGUGAAACAGCAUGCAGUGUAAAGCAGUGAGCAGUAUAUGUGAGGUGGUAUACAGUGUGUGAGGCAGUGUGCAGUGUGUGUGAGGCAGUAUGCAGUGUGUGUGAGGCAGUGGGCAGUGUGUGUGAGGCAGUGUGCAGUAUGUGUGAGGCAGUGUGCAGUGUGAGGCAGUGUACAGUGUGUGUCCCUAUGCAGUGUAAGGCAGUAUGCAGUAUGUGUGAGGCAGUGUGCAGUGUAAAGCAGUGUGCAGGGUAUAUGACACUGUGCCAUGUGCAGUGUGAGGCAGUGUACAGUGUGUGUCCCUAUGCAGUGUAAGGCAGUGUGCAGUGUGUGAGGCAGUGUUCAGUGUGAGUCAGUGUACAAUGUGUGAGACAGUGUGCAGUGUGUGAGGCAAUGUGCAGUGUGAGGCAGUGUGCAGUGUGUGAGGCCCUGUGCAGUGUGAGGCAGUGAAUUUGGGUCCCUUUUCCAAGCAUCUGUGCUUGGGUAGAAGAAACAGGGACAGGCCGUCCGUCCCUGUACCCACUGUUGUCAGUACAUCAGAGCAGAGGGCUUCCUGAACACCUAUACCCAUCUGUAAGAUCUUUAAAAAUCCUGGGAGAAGAUUUUCCACCACAUAGCUGUGGGCCUCAUGCCUACCUAUAGGCUGAGGAACACAGUGUUGAUAGGACCAGCUGUCUCCACAGGAGCUAUCUGGUCAGCCUUCAGAGAAAAGAAUUCGGAGGGGGUCUGUUCCUGCAAAGGUGAGAGAGGCCUUGGGCAGAUAAAAGACUACAAGUUUCCAUGGGGGGCUUUUAAGCUUCUGAGGCGGGUACUUCCUGUUUGCCUGGCAUAGCCCUUCUGUGGUUGCUGCGGAAGGUGGGCUAGGCUAAUUGCCAAUUUGUGUGUGAAGUAGGAAAGGCUGGGCUUCUUUCAUCUUGAACUUUUAUUUCUUAUGUGUGCUGCCCUGAUAAAUCUGCUUAUCAUGGCUUUCUCUGGAUGGGUCCUACAGCCUUCAUGGUCUCCUGUGUCCCUGUUGAAAGUCUUAUUCACACACUUGUGUGCACACCUUGAUUAUAAACAAUUUUAUUUUUUACUUCUCUGCCUUUGGCUUACUUCAAACCCAUUGACUCCACCACCAGGAUGUAUAAAACAAAACAAAACCACCUUGAAUGUCAGGAAUCAAAAGCCCGUGCAGAGGAAACUGAGACUAUGCAGUUGCUUGCAUGAUUCAGAGAGGGGCCUGUUUAAGGAGUGAGGGACUAGUGCUUGGCAGGGCCAUGGAGACCAGGUCAUGGAGACCAAGCUGACCACUAAGUUCCAGAGCAGGAAAAGGCUAAACUGGGAAACUGAGGGCCGGGGAGAUGGCUCAGCCUAUAAAGUACAUUGCAGUCAUGGGGACCUGAGUUCAAUUUCCAGAACUCAGUUGCUAAAUCAAUAAGUAAUGUAGGAACUCUGGCCUGGGAGCGCAUACUUAUAAUCCCAGAGCUAGGGAGGUGGAAACAGGCAGCUAGGUCCCUGGGGCUUACGCGGUGGAUUCAAGGCUAGUGAGAAACCGUGUCUAUAAAAUAAAACAAAAUAAAAUAAAAUAAAAUAAAAUAGUGCAUGGCACCCAAAGAAUGACAGAGAGUAUUUUACACACACACACACACACACACACACACACACACACACACACACACACGUAGGAGAAAAUCCGAAUAAGCAUGUUGUUUCACUGUGAGAAGGCCAAGGCUGAAGAGGCUGCGACCACGACCAACGGGAAAUGAGUCUGGUGCUUCCUAAGGGUAGGAAGGGCUAUUCGGAGUGGGAGAGUGUUUGCCUAGGGAGUACAAGGCCCGGGUUUGAUUCCCAGCACCGAGGGGAGUGUAGGAAGUAGUGGGGAAAAGAAUACAGCCUAGGGGGCUGAUAGCGUAGAAUAACUCUUGUAAACUAUAUGGUUCAAUGAAUGACGCAGAUAACUGAACAGAAAACAAACAAGCGUGCCUGUCCUCAGCCAGGGCGCUAGGAUCCUGGCUACCCCAGUUGAGGAGUUCCGGGUCUUUCUCUGCUUUUCUCCCGAGUCUGGUCUCCGGUCAUCCUCCCCACCCCCAGCCCCACCCCCAGCCCGGGAGAAAGCACUUGGGAAAUAAGAGAUUUAAGAUCUGAUAUCUGUAAACGUGUCCUUCACCUUUGCUGACCUGUAGCUGUUUCUCCCGGCCGGGAAUUCUAAACUGGAAACCACUUUGGAAGCAUUGGGAUUUUCCCCUCUGGUUCUAGUACUCAGAAAUAACGCAGAUGGCGCUUAGUGGAGCUGUGCUUUCUUCUCGAUAGCGACCUCAAUACGGCGUUUAAUUAUGAAGAAAAUUUAAAAAGCAAUUUUUCAAUUCCCUGUUCUGUCUAUAAUUUUAUUGAGAUGCUUAGUCUUCUGGCUUUUGUUUUUGUAACAGAGCUGAGGCCUUAGACCCAGGGCCUCAGGCACGCUGGGCAAACAUUGUACCGCGGAGCUGUGCUCCUUAACCUUGUGGGGGCUCUUGCAUCUCUGAUUUUCAAGGAUCUUCUUCAUUUCCCUGCUGGUCCAUCCCAAGCACUGGGUUCCAAGUGAGCUCCACCAUGCCUGCUUUUCCUUGCUCUGCUCAGUCAGACUCCUGUUUCUCUCUCUGUCUCUGUCUCUGUCUCUGUCUCUGUCUCUGUCUGUCUGUCUGUCUGUCUGUCUGUCUGUCUCUCUCUCUCUCUCUCUCUCUCCUGGGUUCUAACCUCCCAGCUUUCUUUUCAUUACAUUCAUAAAUGGAGAACUUCCCUUACAGACAUAAUGCCAGCAAUCCUCUCUCAGUCCAAAGGACUGCUUCUAGCAUCCUCUGUAGGUCAGUAACGCUAAAUGAAUGGGGCUUAGUGGUAUGUGUUUGUGUGAGUGUGUGUGUGUAUUAAUUAUAGAAGUCAUGAGCUCAAAAGAGACUUGGUGAGGGGCACAGGAGAGUUGGAGGGAUGGGAAUAAUGUAAAUACAGUAUUCAUGUAUGAAAUACUAAAAUUUUAAUUUAAAAAGUUAAAAUGAAAACAUAUGUCGGCGAAUAAAGAUGUCUCCUCUUUCUUCCCCUUUGUUGGAAUGCGGCCUUUGCAACCGAGACAGGUCACCGGACGGACGGACGGACGGACGAACGGACGGAGGAAGACCAGGAGCCUUGCUUGCUUAUCCAGACUGACUGGGUUCUGAUGACACCUUAUACAAGAACUCAGGAAACAGCACCCUGCGGGCCCUGUGCGGCCUCAGGAGGGAGUCCUUUCAGGCUCUCUCCCAUCUCAUUUCCUCCCAACCCUCUCGGUCCCCAACAGUGAACCACAAACCAAAUUCCAAUGCCCCAAGGCUAGUCAUAAGAGCCAGGACUGUUCUACCUGAAAACCUAGGCCCAUUCUCUCCCUGGCCCAUAAAGUUCCACUCCCCAGGACCCUCCCAUGCCCGGGAGCAAAGGAAGAUUGCUUCACUGGAAAGAAAGCCAGGAGGAAUCUGGAAAGACAGUCCUGGAGGGCUUUUCCCUGGAACCCGUACCUGGAGAGUGUGAACCGUGAGCCACCGGUCCCCUCUCCAGGGGACGGAAGUGGACGCAGGAAUAGGCAGUUUUCCUUGAGUCUUACUCUCUGAAGGCUCUUGGGCCACAUUGAACUUUUGUUCAACACACUAGGUUUUCUCGGGCUGGGGCUGCCUGUCCUUCCUUAUAGGAGUGUCCUUGGGACCCACAUGGUAGGAGAGGUCACCAUGCACUAAGCCCUCAGCACUAGGAAAUGUGCAGAGCCAGGUUCUAAGGGAAGCCUGAGCUCCCUCUGUUGCUGGUCCUGGGUGUCGCUCCUGGUCCUCCGCCUCACAUCUGUAAGCAGCACAAAUCUCUGAGAGCAGUUUUGGAGAGCUAAUAUCCUCUCCGUUUCAAUUUACCGCCGGUUGGUUUCAUACUUUUUAAAUGUCAAUUGUCAAUCUCUCUCUAUUAUUAUUAUUAUUAUUAUUAUUAUUAUUAUUAUUUUAUUUUAUUUUAUUUUAUUUUAUUUUAUUUUAUUUUUUUACCUCUACCUUUGUCCUUGCUACCUAGCCCAGUCUCAGUUUCUUCCUGAGACAAGUAGGUAAAUGGAGCUGGCGAUGGGGCUCGGUUGGUAAAGUGCUUGCCUUGUUAGCACUUGAGUAUAAGUCCCUGGAACUCCUUUUUUUGUAAAAAACCAGACAUGGAAGGCCCCGAGAAAUGGCUCAGUGAUUACAAACACAUGCCUCACAUGUUUGGGUUCGAUCUCUGAAACCCAUCGUGGAAAUAGAAAACUAACUCUUGGGAGUUGUCCUCUGACCUCCACGGGUGUGUGAGACACGUGGGAGCCCAUGCUCAUACUUACUCCAAACACAAUAAAAAAUUUAAAAGCCAG